UACGUAGGUGGCAAGCGUUGUCCGGAAUUAUUGGGCGUAAAGCGCGCGCAGGCGGCCUUUUAAGUCUGAUGUGAAAGCCCACGGCUCAACCGUGGAAGGUCAUUGGAAACUGGAAGGCUUGAGUACAGAAGAGGAAAGCGGAAUUCCACGUGUAGCGGUGAAAUGCGUAGAGAUGUGGAGGAACACCAGUGGCGAAGGCGGCUUUCUGGUCUGUAACUGACGCUGAGGCGCGAAAGCGUGGGAGCAAACAGG
rnacentral:rRNA from 1 species